rnacentral:rRNA from 1 species
CCUACGGGAGGCAGCAGUGGGGAAUUUUGGACAAUGGGCGAAAGCCUGAUCCAGCCAUGCCGCGUGCAGGAUGAAGGCCUUCGGGUUGUAAACUGCUUUUGUACGGAACGAAAAGACUCUGGUUAAUACCUGGGGUCCAUGACGGUACCGUAAGAAUAAGCACCGGCUAACUACGUGCCAGCAGCCGCGGUAAUACGUAGGGUGCAAGCGUUAAUCGGAAUUACUGGGCGUAAAGCGUGCGCAGGCGGUUAUAUAAGACAGAUGUGAAAUCCCCGGGCUCAACCUGGGAACUGCAUUUGUGACUGUAUAGCUAGAGUACGGUAGAGGGGGAUGGAAUUCCGCGUGUAGCAGUGAAAUGCGUAGAUAUGCGGAGGAACACCGAUGGCGAAGGCAAUCCCCUGGACCUGUACUGACGCUCAUGCACGAAAGCGUGGGGAGCAAACAGGAUUAGAUACCCUGGUAGUCCACGCCCUAAACGAUGUCAACUGGUUGUUGGGUCUUCACUGACUCAGUAACGAAGCUAACGCGUGAAGUUGACCGCCUGGGGGAGGUACGGUCCGGCGAGUUAGUUAAACGUUAAAGGUUAAAGUUAGUACGGCGUUGAGACGUUGCCGACGGACGACGACGAGGGAGGAGG